GAUGAACGCUGGCGGCGUGCUUAACACAUGCAAGUCGAACGGUGAACACGGAGCUUGCUCUGUGGGAUCAGUGGCGAACGGGUGAGUAACACGUGAGCAACCUGCCCCUGACUCUGGGAUAAGCGCUGGAAACGGCGUCUAAUACUGGAUAUGUGACGUGACCGCAUGGUCUGCGUUUGGAAAGAUUUUUCGGUUGGGGAUGGGCUCGCGGCCUAUCAGCUUGUUGGUGAGGUAAUGGCUCACCAAGGCGUCGACGGGUAGCCGGCCUGAGAGGGUGACCGGCCACACUGGGACUGAGACACGGCCCAGACUCCUACGGGAGGCAGCAGUGGGGAAUAUUGCACAAUGGGCGCAAGCCUGAUGCAGCAACGCCGCGUGAGGGAUGACGGCCUUCGGGUUGUAAACCUCUUUUAGCGGGGAAGAAGCGAAAGUGACGGUACCUGCAGAAAAAGCGCCGGCUAACUACGUG
rnacentral:rRNA from 1 species